rnacentral:rRNA from 1 species
AUGCACGCUGGCGGCGUGCCUAAUCCCUGCAAGUCGAGCGAACAGACGAGGAGCUUGCUCCUCUGACGUUAGCGGCGGACGGGUGAGUAACACGUGGAUAACCUACCUAUAAGACUGGGAUAACUUCGGGAAACCGGAGCUAAUACCGGAUAAUAUAUUGAACCGCAUGGUUCAAUAGUGAAAGACGGUUUUGCUGUCACUUAUAGAUGGAUCCGCGCCGCAUUAGCUAGUUGGUAAGGUAACGGCUUACCAAGGCAACGAUGCGUAGCCGACCUGAGAGGGUGAUCGGCCACACUGGAACUGAGACACGGUCCAGACUCCUACGGGAGGCAGCAGUAGGGAAUCUGCCGCAAUGGGCGAAAGCUUGACGGAGCAACGCCGCGUGAGUGAUGAAGGUCUUCGGAUCGUAAAACUCUGUUAUUAGGGAAGAACAAAUGUGUAAGUAACUAUGCACGUCUUGACGGUACCUAAUCAGAAAGCCACGGCUAACUACGU